rnacentral:rRNA from 1 species
UAGUGGCGCACGGGUGCGUAACGCGUGGGAAUCUACCCUUGGGUUCGGAAUAACUCAGAGAAAUUUGAGCUAAUACCGGAUAAUGACGCAAGUCCAAAGAUUCAUCGCCCAAGGAUGAGCCCGCGUAGGAUUAGCUUGUUGGUGAGGUAAAAGCUCACCAAGGCGACGAUCCUUAGCUGGUCUGAGAGGAUGAUCAGCCACACUGGGACUGAGACACGGCCCAGACUCCUACGGGAGGCAGCAGUGGGGAAUAUUGGACAAUGGGCGAAAGCCUGAUCCAGCAAUGCCGCGUGAGUGAUGAAGGCCUUAGGGUUGUAAAGCUCUUUUACCCGGGAAGAUAAUGACUGUACCGGGAGAAUAAGCCCCGGCUAA